GGCAUGUAUCUAUCGUGUGCGCUACACCUAUGCAUCAUGUCAGGGUUACAAAUUGUCGCGAGGACUGUUAACGUUACGUCGGCUAUUUCUUAAUGGAAACGAAUUUGAACAUUUGCUCGGAGUAUUUCCGAUUUCAAAAUCACACUCGAUGCAAGUUUCACUCGGUAACCGUUUCGAGAACCGAAUUACAUCUUUAGAAAGCGCAUCGUUCGAUUUGCAACCCUUCCAACUUCCAACUACAGUGAGGGUAAGCGGUUAUGCAGACAAAAGAAGGUGGCUUUGACGGCGCAUGCGUGCGAAGCGUUUGUACCGCGCUUGCGCCUACGAACCGAAUCGACGAGUAGAGGUGGUUCGCCUAACAUAGCGGGGAAAGGUACUGGAAACAGCUGGCAGAUUAUCAAGGUCUAUUCGAAUGACAGCCACACGUCACACCUCCGGUCGAGCCCCCUCUGUCGACCAAUGGAAGGCCCGGAUUCGACUCGGUCUCUUUACCACUUGUACACAUGCAAAUUACAUCUACGAGUUCAUCGAACAAUGGCUAUCUAGCAGCAGACAGACGCAUAGAGCCAUUUGCGCAGCUGCGUUUGUGUUUCAUUAACCAGUUACGCUAAUAGUAGAAUCGUGUGAACAUACUUACGUUCGUAUGAUGCCAGUAUUCAAUGAGGCCCAGGAGAUCGGUACUUGGUGCAUAAAGUAGAAAAUCUCGCCACUCGUUGAAGCUAAUAGUAAGACUUCCAUCUUUGUCCAUUCUAUAAAUCGGACAAUAGAAGCCAUAUAAAUCGAUAGCGAUGAAGAAUGUUCAAAAUAAAACGUCUUGACAUAUUAUAAAUAAAAAAAAAAAUUUGUAUCAACGGA